rnacentral:rRNA from 1 species
CCUGACUCAGAUUGAAUGCUGGCGGCAGGACUAACAGUCGAGGUCGAGCGGCAGCACGGGUACUUGUACCUGGUGGCGAGCGGCGGACGGGUGAGUAAUGCCUAGGAAUCUGCCUGGUAGUGGGGGAUAACGCUCGGAAGGAGACGCUAAUACCGCAUACGUUAGACGGGAGAAAGCAGGGGACCUUCGGGCCUUGCGCUAUCAGAUGAGCCUAGGUCGGAUUAGCUAGUUGGUGAGGUAAUGGCUCACCNAGGCGACGAUCCGUAACUGGUCUGAGAGGAUGUUCAGUCACACUGGAACUGAGCCACGGUCCAGACUCCUACGGGAGGCAGCAGUGGGGAAUAUUGGACAAUCGGCGAAAGCCUGAUCCAGCCCUGCCGCGUGUGUGAAGAAGGUCUUCGGAUGGUAAAGCACUUUAAGUUGGGAGGAAGGGCAGUUACCUAAUACGUAUCUGUUUUGACGUUACCGACAGAAUAAGCACCGGCUAACUCUCUGCCAGCAGCCGCGGUAAUACAGAGGGUGCAAGCCGUUAAUCGGAUNACUGGGCGUAAAGCGCGCGUAGGUGGUUUGUUAAGUUGGAUGUGAAAUCCCCGGGCUCAACCUGGGAAACUGCAUUCAAAACUGACUAGCUAGAGUAUUG